rnacentral:rRNA from 1 species
AUUGAACGCUGGCGGCAGGCCUAACACAUGCAAGUCGAGCGGAUGAAGGGAGCUUGCUCCUGGAUUCAGCGGCGGACGGGUGAGUAAUGCCUAGGAAUCUGCCUGGUAGUGGGGGAUAACGUCCGGAAACGGGCGCUAAUACCGCAUACGUCCUGAGGGAGAAAGUGGGGGAUCUUCGGACCUCACGCUAUCAGAUGAGCCUAGGUCGGAUUAGCUAGUUGGUGGGGUAAAGGCCUACCAAGGCGACGAUCCGUAACUGGCCUGAGAGGAUGAUCAGUCACACUGGAACUGAGACACGGUCCAGACUCCUACGGGAGGCAGCAGUGGGGAAUAUUGGACAAUGGGCGAAAGCCUGAUCCAGCCAUGCCGCGUGCGUGGAGAAGGUCUUCGGAUUGUAAAGCACUUUAAGUUGGGAGGAAGGGCAGUAAGUUAAUACCUUGCUGUUUUGACGUUACCAACAGAAUAAGCACCGGCUAACUUCGUG